rnacentral:rRNA from 1 species
GCAUAUCAAUAAGCGGAGGAAAAGAAAAUAACAAUGAUUCCCCUAGUAACUGCGAGUGAAGAGGGACAAGCUCAAAUUUUAAAUCUAUCGGGUUUUACCUGAUCGAGUUGUAAUUUGAAGAAGCGUUUUCUGCGUAUUUGGUCAGCCUAAGUCCUAUUGAAUGAGGCAUCAUGGAGGGUGAUAAUCCCGUCCGGUUGAUCAUUUGCGUUUUACGAUACGCUUUCUAAGAGUCAAGUUGUUUGGGAUUGCAGCUUAAAAUGGGAGGUAAAUUUCUCCUAAGGCUAAAUAACGGCGAGAGACCGAUAGCGAACAAGUACCGUGAGGGAAAGAUGAAAAGAACUUUGAAAAGAGAGUUAAACAGUACGUGAAAUUGUUGAAAGGGAAACGAUUGAAGCCAGUCGUACCUUCGGGUAAUCAGCCUUUCGGGUGCGAUUCUGUGGAGUGUGAGGAGCUUAAACACCUUCAUGUUUUGCAUAUUCGUACUCUUGGGUGUACUUGCCCGUGUGGUUGGUUAACAUCAAUUUUGGUGGUCAUAAAAUGACUGGAGGAAUGUAGCUUCGAUCUUGUAUUGAAGUGUUAUAGCCUUCGGUAGAUGUGAUGAUCGAGAUUGAGGAUUGCAACGGAUACCCUUCGGGGCUACCUGUCUGGUCUCUGAUCG